ensembl:lncRNA
CUCCUAACGUUACCACAGGCCAACAGUGCAGUCCUCGAGGGGCUUCUGAGGAUGGGGCAGCUGGUGAUGUGGAGAGGCUCCUGUGAUGGCUGAGGACAAUGAAGGAAACUGGAGAGGAAGAGACCCAGCUUCCCACCAAAGCCCAGGCCAGCAGCUAAUGACCCGAGAUGAUACUUCUGAGAUGCCAGUGAUCCUGACCUGAUCCCGAUCCAUCCUGAUGCCUUACUUCUGAUUGGAGUUCUCAUCAAUUGGAAGUCACAUGCUGCUGAGGAUGGCCCCACAUGGUGCAGCAUAAAGAUCAUUGAGAUUGCUGAGGAUGGAACCAUUUAAAAUGAUAAGAUGGCUUUAGACCUCAAUUCAGUUGAACAAUUAUACUAUGAUGACUAGGACUACAAACAGUUUUGCACUCAAUUCUCCAUCAGUGAACAGUGGAAAAGUUAAAAAAAAAAAAUAAAAUGAUUUCAUGUAAAAAAUUAAAUGAAUUUUCCUGGUUACAAA